rnacentral:rRNA from 1 species
GACGAACGCUGGCGGCGUGCCUAAUACAUGCAAGUCGAACGCUGAAGAGAGGAGCUUGCUCUUCUUGGAUGAGUUGCGAACGGGUGAGUAACGCGUAGGUAACCUGCCUUGUAGCGGGGGAUAACUAUUGGAAACGAUGGCUAAUACCGCAUAACAACGGAUGACACAUGUCAUUUAUUUGAAAGGGGCAAUUGCUCCACUACAAGAUGGACCUGCGUUGUAUUAGCUAGUAGGUGAGGUAAUGGCUCACCUAGGCGACGAUACAUAGCCGACCUGAGAGGUUGAUCGGCCACACUGGGACUGAGACACGGCCCAGACUCCUACGGGAGGCAGCAGUAGGGAAUCUUCGGCAAUGGGGGCAACCCUGACCGAGCAACGCCGCGUGAGUGAAGAAGGUUUUCGGAUCGUAAAGCUCUGUUGUAAGUCAAGAACGGGUGUGAGAGUGGAAAGUUCACACUGUGACGGUAGCUUACCAGAAAGGGACGGCUAACUACGUG